rnacentral:pre_miRNA from 1 species
GUGGCUGCCAGAUGGAUGCUCUCUACUAGUGCUGUGCAGAGGCUUUCAUGAGGCUGCUGUGAGACUGUAGGGUUUCCCCCUGGGCUACAGAGCCGG